UACAGAGGGUGCAAGCGUUGUUCGGAAUUAUUGGGCGUAAAGGGUGUGUAGGCGGUUCGUUAAGUCUUCUGUGAAAUCCACGGGCUUAGCCUGUAACGUGCAGAGGAAACUGGUGGACUUGAGUGUUGGAGAGGAUAGGGGAAUACCCGGUGUAGAGGUGAAAUUCGUAGAGAUCGGGUGGAACACCAGUGGCGAAGGCGCCUAUCUGGCUGACAACUGACGCUGAGACUCGAAAGCAUGGGGAGCAAACAGG
rnacentral:rRNA from 1 species